UACGUAGGGGUGCAAGCGUUGUUCCGGAAUUAUUGGGCGUAAAGGAGCUCGUAGGCGGUCUGUUGCGUCGGCUGUGAAAACCCCGGGGCUCAACCCCGGGCCUGCAGCCGAUACGGGCAGACUAGAGUUCGGCAGGGGAGACUGGAAUUCCUGGUGUAGCGGUGAAAUGCGCAGAUAUCAGGAGGAACACCGGUGGCGAAGGCGGGUCUCUGGGCCGAUACUGACGCUGAGGAGCGAAAGCGUGGGGAGCAAACAGG
rnacentral:rRNA from 1 species